rnacentral:rRNA from 1 species
CCUACGGGGGGCAGCAGUGAGGAAUAUUGGUCAAUGGGCGAGAGCCUGAACCAGCCAAGUCGCGUGAAGGAUGAAGGAUCUAUGGUUUGUAAACUUCUUUUAUAUGGGAAUAAAGUGAUGAACGUGUUCCUUUUUGUAUGUACCAUAUGAAUAAGCAUCGGCUAACUCCGUGCCAGCAGCCGCGGUAAUACGGAGGAUGUGAGCGUUAUCCGGAUUUAUUGGGUUUAAAGGGUGCGUAGGUGGUUAAUUAAGUCAGCGGUGAAAGUUUGUGGCUCAACCGUAAAAUUGCCGUUGAAACUGGUAGUCUUGAGUACAGUUGAGGUAGGCGGAAUGCGUGGUGUAGCGGUGAAAUGCAUAGAUAUCACGCAGAACUCCGAUUGCGAAGGCAGCUUACUAAACUGUAACUGACACUGAGGCACGAAAGCGUGGUGAUCAAACAGGAUUAGAUACCCCAGUAGUC